UCGGAUAGAUGUGACGCAUCCAAAUCAAAUUUGUAUGGACUUUGAACUAUUUGGGUAUAGAAACUUACGACAUGAACCGCCGAACAAGUUGGUUUUUGACAAUCAUGAACUACGUUUGAGAGGCGGCCCAUGCUCUGGCAUGCAGAACGACUGUCCUGAAAACUCUGAAUGUACCAAUCCAGUUCUUUUGGAUUAUGGAUGCAAGUGUAAUGAUGGCUUUCAGAGCUCAACUGGA